UACGUAGGUGGCAAGCGUUGUCCGGAUUUAUUGGGCGUAAAGCGCGCGCAGGUGGUGCGGUAAGUCUGCCGUGAAAUCUCCCGGCUCAACUGGGAGGGGGCGGUGGAGACUGCCGGACUGGAGGGACUCAGAGGCCGGUGGAAUUCCCGGUGUAGUGGUGAAAUGCGUAGAGAUCGGGAGGAACACCAGUGGCGAAGGCGGCCGGCUGGGGGUGCCCUGACGCUGAGGCGCGAAAGCGUGGGGGAGCGAACCGG
rnacentral:rRNA from 1 species